GAUGAACGCUGGCGGCGUGCUUAACACGUGCAAGUCGAACGGUGGACGAGGGAGCUUGCUCCCUCCGGAUCAGUGGCGAACGGGUGAGUAACACGUGAGCAAUCUGCCCUGGACUCUAGGAUAAGCGUUGGAAACGACGUCUAAUACCGGAUACGAGGCGUGGGGGCAUCCCCAACGCCUGGAAAGAACUUCGGUCCAGGAUGAGCUCGCGGCCUAUCAGGUAGUUGGUGAGGUAAUGGCUCACCAAGCCUACGACGGGUAGCCGGCCUGAGAGGGUGACCGGCCACACUGGGACUGAGACACGGCCCAGACUCCUACGGGAGGCAGCAGUGGGGAAUAUUGCACAAUGGGCGCAAGCCUGAUGCAGCAACGCCGCGUGAGGGACGACGGCCUUCGGGUUGUAAACCUCUUUUAGCAGGGAAGAAGCGAAAGUGACGGUACCUGCAGAAAAAGCACCGGCUAACUACGUGCCAGCCGCCGCGGUAACAC
rnacentral:rRNA from 1 species